UGCACCUCAAUUAAAAGCCCUGAGCUUAUUCCAACAUGCAGUGUCUGUUGGGAAGCUCAAACUGGGAAUAAAAUUCCUCUGUGACCUUACUGCCUGCUGAAAUUGCCAGGUGAGUGAAGAAAUGUCAAUUAAAACGAAGAGUGGCUAAAGGGAAAGCUUGCAUUAAUUCAAGUUCUACAGACUGUUACAAGAAGUAGGGAAAAGAAUUUUAACCCUGGUGUUCUGAUGAAAUUCCAGACUCUAAUUACAUUAGCUCUGAAGUCCACCUGCAGUUUUAAUUUAAAAAGCUGUUCCUCUUCAAGCUAUAGCCUGCCAUGCAGUUACACUGCUCAGUGUCAAACAGGUGCUAGAGUUCAUCAGAGAGGUAAAAGGCUUCAUAAAGGCUACAAGGACUGCCUGGGAGCUGCAGUGCCAUGCCCUUGCUGUUCAUUCCUGCCUUGAGGUGGAACUAAAGAUCAUCAGCCGACUCAUAAGGAGAACUGUGAUGCUGUCUCUUCCAGAGGUUCAUUAGCACUCACUCAGCAAGGUUCCCCAGCUAUGCCUGUACUCUUUGGAAGCAGCAACCAGAUUGCAUUUAGGUGUGCAGUAAGUAUCUGUCAGCAGCAUGUCAGUCUUUAACAAUUGUGAUUCAUCCAUAUAUAUUUUUUUAAAAAAAAGAGUUAGAAAUUCCUUUUCUGCUUUAUGUCACCCACACUUUAUGGCACUAACAACACUUGUUCCACAUAAGGACUGUACAUAGACUCUUCUACUUGCUUAUACAGCCUGAAAUGAGAUGGUGUUAGUGUGCUUGCUUGCUUCCAAAAUUAUGCUGGUUAUUGUGCCAAGUUAAGACAUGAAUGUCAAGCCAUUCCACAAGCCUAGAAAGAAUAAUAAAAAUAUUUAUGAAUGUUACAGUUUUAACUGUUAUAUUUUUUAAGACCUCCACAGCUUGGACUGAUUUAUGUCUGUUCAGCUCUUUUUUGAAAAUAAAAUAAAAAAAAAACAUACAAAAGAAAUUAAGGGAGCCAGAAGCUAUGCAUUCAAAGAACUAUCUAAAAAUAAGAGGUAAAGCUAUAAACUUUAAAAUCCCACUGAGCAAAGAAGAAGGUUUUUCUUGUCUGGCUACAGGAGUGUGUGCAGUUUUGCUGAAAUGUAGUUCUCAUUUUGCCUCAUACAGUCUCUGUGGUGGUGACUGCUAUUUUUACUUUAGAUGUGGGCUUUUUAAUUUCCUUAUUUAUGUUUUCAUUCUCAUCAUAAGAGAUGUAUUAUAACCGUUCACUGCAUUCUACACGUUUAAUUCCAAACUCCGACAUGCAGCAGCCUUGGGUUGAGCUGUGGCAGCUGGAAAUUCAGCACAAAUGACAUGCAGUCCCCGAGUCUGAAAAGGAAGUUGAGUCACAAAAAUACAAAUUUCACAACAGAAUAAAUGAAAAAAAAAAAAAAACCAUUCUUAGAGACCAGCUGGUGGUGUAUUAUAUCCACAUUGUGACCAUGCUCCAUCAUAGUCUGUCUGCUUGGUACUUUUAAAAAUAAUUUUGGCUUUACGUUUUCAGCUGGUGUGGCAAGGAUUUGAUGUUACAGCAGAGGUGUCCAGUUGUAAGAGUGUCUGAUCAUGGUCAUACAGCGUAGACGUGUAGUACCGUCCUUCAGAAAUGAAAGAAGCGUGUGACUUGCACCCUUCUAGCAGUGUAACAGAAUGAUCACGCUAUGAGAU